rnacentral:rRNA from 1 species
CCUACGGGAGGCAGCAGUGAGGAAUAUUGGUCAAUGGACGAGAGUCUGAACCAGCCAAGUAGCGUGAAGGAUGACUGCCCUAUGGGUUGUAAACUUCUUUUAUAAAGGAAUAAAACGAGGCACGUGUGCCUUUUUGCAUGUACUUUAUGAAGAAGGAUCGGCUAACUCCGUGCCAGCAGCUGCGGUAAUACGGAGGAUCCGAGCGUUAUCCGGAUUUAGUGGGUUUAAAGGGUGCGUAGAUGGGUUGUUAAGUCAGUGGUGAAAGUUUGCGGCUCAACCGUAAAAUUGCAAUUGAUACUGGCAGUCUUGAGUACAGGUGAGGUAGGCGGAAUUCGUGGUGUAGCGGUGAAAUGCUUAGAUAUCACGAAGAACCCCGAUUGCGAAGGCAGCUUACUAAACUGUGACUGACACUGAGGCACGAAAGUGUGGGUAUCAAACAGGAUUAGAUACCCCUGUAGUC